rnacentral:rRNA from 1 species
AACGUAGGUUCCGAGCGUUAUCCGGAUUUACUGGGCGUAAAGCGCGUUCAGGCGGUUUGGCAAGUCGGGCAUGAAAUCCUUCGGCUCAACCGGGGGAGGUUGUCCGAUACUGCUAAACUGGAGGGCAGUAGAGGGUGGUGGAAUUCCGGGUGUAGUGGUGAAAUGCGUAGAGAUCCGGAGGAACACCGGUGGCGAAGGCGGCUUCCUGGACCGAUACUGACGCUGAGGCGCGAAAGCUAGGGGAGCAAACGGG